UAACCAGACCUUAGUGUUUUGGAACUAGCUCAUUUUAGAACCCAUUUUGGAACCCAUUACAAUGACAAUAUAAUGAAUAUGAAGAAGAUUCGAAGCUCAAAUAAUAAAAGCCCAAAGAAAGAAAUAGUGAAAAAGAGAGGAAAAUCAAUCGCCAUAGCAAAGCGAAUAAGCGAUACACACGAAGACAAUCAUGGAGGAGAAAUGGCAAGCCAGUGCUGCAUCAUCUGCGAUGCUUGAUUAGGAGAGGAUUCACGAAGGCUGUAUUGGAAGUGGGCUUAACACCCUCACUUAGCUAGAUCUAUCUUGAAUAUUAAAACCUAUUGACCAAGUCGACAAAAUGUUAAAUUAGGGUUAACGAGUCUAGUCAGCGUAACCCCGUCUAAUUGUCAUCAUCACUAUACCAAUUUACAGUGGGUAGAAUCGAGCAUAAACUGACAUGUGUGUGAGCAAUUCACUUACAGUGACUUAUCUGCGUGGAUAACUCGGCGACGAGCUCAUCAUCAUUACCCGCAGAGUGGUUCGAACGUGCGGUUCAAAACGUCACUGCGGGAUGCACUGAAGCUGCUACAUCACCCCGAUUUAGAGAAACCUUACUUCUCAAUAUCCGCUAGAA
rnacentral:lncRNA from 1 species